rnacentral:rRNA from 1 species
AUUGAACGCUGGCGGCAGGCCUAACACAUGCAAGUCGAGCGGUAGAGAGAAGCUUGCUUCUCUUGAGAGCGGCGGACGGGUGAGUAAUGCCUAGUAAUCUGCCUGGUAGUGGGGGAUAACGUGCGGAAACGGACGCUAAUACCGCAUACGACCUACGGGAGAAAGCAGGGGACCUUCGGGCCUUUCGCUAUCAGAUGAUCCUAGGUUGGAUUAACUAGUUGGUGAGGUAAUGGCUCACCAAGGCGACGAGCCGUAACUGGUCUGAGAGGAUGAUCAGGCAAACUGGAACUGAGACACGGUCCAGACUCCUACGGGAGGCAGCAGUGGGGAAUAUUGGACAAUGGGCGAAAGCCUGAUCCAGCCAUGCCGCGUGUGUGAAGAAGGUCUUCGGAUUGUAAAGCACUUUAAGUUGGGAGGAAGGGUUGUAGAUUAAUACUCUGCAAUUUUGACGUUACCGACAGAAUAAGCACCGGCUAACUCUGUGCCAGCCGCCGCCGUAA